GUACACUCUAAACCCUUUAACGAGGAUCAAUUGGAGGGCAAGUCUGGUGCCAGCAGCCGCGGUAAUUCCAGCUCCAAUAGCGUAUAUUAAAGUUGUUGCGGUUAAAAAGCUCGUAGUCGAAUCUGUGUCCCGCGCCGCCGGUUCAUCGUCCGCGGUGUUAACUGGCGUGUCGCGAGACGUCCUGCCGGUGGGCUUAGCUCGCAAGGGCGACGGCCCAACUCAAUCCCGCCGCGGUGCUCUUCACUGAGUGUCGAGGUGGGCCGGCACGUUUACUUUGAACAAAUUAGAGUGCUUAAAGCAGGCUAAAACUUCGCCUGAAUACUGUGUGCAUGGAAUAAUGGAAUAGGACCUCGGUUCUAUUUUGUUGGUUUUCGGAACCCCGAGGUAAUGAUUAAUAGGAACGGAUGGGGGCAUUCGUAUUGCGACGUUAGAGGUGAAAUUCUUGGAUCGUCGCAAGACGGACAGAAGCGAAAGCAUUUGCCAAAAACGCUUUCAUUGAUCAAGAAC
rnacentral:rRNA from 1 species